GGAUGAUAAGCGAAUUGGUGAGCAGUCUCACUGGAACUGAGAUACCGAGCAAUCGGCUGCGGGUUCGAGUCCCGUGUCAUCCG
rnacentral:tRNA from 1 species